rnacentral:rRNA from 1 species
UACGUAGGGUGCAAGCGUUAAUCGGAAUUACUGGGCGUAAAGCGUGCGCAGGCGGUUUUGUAAGACAGUGGUGAAAUCCCCGGGCUCAACCUGGGAACUGCCAUUGUGACUGCAAGGCUAGAGUGCGGCAGAGGGGGAUGGAAUUCCGCGUGUAGCAGUGAAAUGCGUAGAUAUGCGGAGGAACACCGAUGGCGAAGGCAAUCCCCUGGGCCUGCACUGACGCUCAUGCACGAAAGCGUGGGG